rnacentral:tRNA from 1 species
ACUUAUUUAAUAUAGUAGUAUAUUUAACUUCCAAUUAAAAAGACUGAAUAAAUCAGAAUAAGUA